rnacentral:rRNA from 1 species
UACGGAGGGUGCAAGCGUUAUCCGGAUUCACUGGGUUUAAAGGGUGCGUAGGUGGGCAGGUAAGUCAGUGGUGAAAUCUCCGGGCUUAACCCGGAAACUGCCAUUGAUACUAUCUGUCUUGAAUACAGUGGAGGUGAGCGGAAUAUGUCAUGUAGCGGUGAAAUGCUUAGAUAUGACAUAGAACACCAAUUGCGAAGGCAGCUCACUACACGAAUAUUGACACUGAGGCACGAAAGCGUGGGGAUCAAACAGG